rnacentral:rRNA from 1 species
AGAGUUUGAUCCUGGCUCAGAGCGAACGCUGGCGGCAUGCUUAAUACAUGCAAGUCGCACGGCCGGGGGUAACUCCGGCAGUGGCGGACGGGUGAGUAACGCGUAGGAAUCUAUCCACGGGUGGGGGAUAACGCCGGGAAACUGGUGCUAAUACCGCAUGAUACCUGAGGGUCAAAGGCGCAAGUCGCCUGUGGAGGAGCCUGCGUCCGAUUAGCUUGUUGGUGGGGUAAUGGCCUACCAAGGCGAUGAUCGGUAGCUGGUCUGAGAGGAUGAUCAGCCACACUGGGACUGAGACACGGCCCAGACUCCUACGGGAGGCAGCAGUAGGGAAUAUUGGACAAUGGGCGAAAGCCUGAUCCAGCAAUGCCGCGUGGAUGAAGAAGGUCUUCGGAUUGUAAAGUCCUUUCGGCGGGGACGAUGAUGACGGUACCCGCAGAAGAAGCCCCGGCUAACUUCGUGCCAGCAGCCGCGGUAAUACGAAGGGGGCUAGCGUUGCUCGGAAUGACUGGGCGUAAAGGGCGCGUAGGCGGUUUGGACAGUCAGGCGUGAAAUUCCUGGGCUUAACCCGGGGGCUGCGCUUGAUACAUCCAGGCUUGAGUGGGGAAGAGGGUCGUGGAAUUCCCAGUGUAGAGGUGAAAUUCGUAGAUAUUGGGAAGAACACCGGUGGCGAAGGCGGCGCUCUGGACCGAGACUGACGCUGAGGCGCGAAGGCGUGGGGAGCAAACAGGAUUAGAUACCCUAGUAGUCC